rnacentral:rRNA from 1 species
GCUCUGUGGAUCAGUGGCGAACGGGUGAGUAACACGUGAGCAAUCUGCCCCUGACUCUGGGAUAAGCGCUGGAAACGGCGUCUAAUACCGGAUACGAGCUGCGACCGCAUGGUCAGUAGCUGGAAAGAAUUUCGGUCAGGGAUGAGCUCGCGGCCUAUCAGCUUGUUGGUGAGGUAAUGGCUCACCAAGGCGUCGACGGGUAGCCGGCCUGAGAGGGUGACCGGCCACACUGGGACUGAGACACGGCCCAGACUCCUACGGGAGGCAGCAGUGGGGAAUAUUGCACAAUGGGCGAAAGCCUGAUGCAGCAACGCCGCGUGAGGGAUGACGGCCUUCGGGUUGUAAACCUCUUUUAGCAGGGAAGAAGCGAAAGUGACGGUACCUGCAGAAAAAGCGCCGGCUAACUACGUGCCAGCAGCCGCGGUAAUACGUAGGGCGCAAGCGUUAUCCGGAAUUAUUGGGCGUAAAGAGCUCGUAGGCGGUCUGUCGCGUCUGCUGUGAAAACCCGAGGCUCAACCUCGGGCCUGCAGUGGGUACGGGCAGACUAGAGUGCGGUAGGGGAGAUUGGAAUUCCUGGUGUAGCGGUGGAAUGCGCAGAUAUCAGGAGGAACACCGAUGGCGAAGGCAGAUCUCUGGGCCGUAACUGACGCUGAGGAGCG